GUUGGCGAUAUACUGUCAGCGACUGAGCGAAAGCAUUAAGUGAUCCACCUGGGGAGUACGACCGCAAGGUUGAAACUCAAAGGAAUUGACGGGGGCCCGCACAAGCGGAGGAACAUGUGGUUUAAUUCGAUGAUACGCGAGGAACCUUACCUGGGCUUAAAUGUAGAACGACGGACCGGGAAACUGGUCUUUCUUCGGACGGUCUGCAAGGUGCUGCAUGGCUGUCGUCAGCUCGUGCCGUGAGGUGUCGGGUUAAGUCCCAUAACGAGCGCAACCCUCAUCAUUAGUUGCCAGCGGGUAAUGCCGGGGACUCUAAUGAAACUGCCGGUGUAAACCGAGAGGAAGGUGGGGAUGACGUCAAGUCAGCACGGCCCUUAUGUCCAGGGCUACACACGUGUUACAAUGGUCGGUACAAAGGGCAGCUACCUGGUGACAGGAUGCUAAUCUCAAAAACCGAUCUUAGUUCGGAUCGAAGUCUGCAACUCGACUUCGUGAAGCUGGAUUCGCUAGUAAUCGCGCAUCAGCCACGGCGCGGUGAAUACGUUCCCGGGCCUUGUACACACCGCCCGUCAAGCCAUGGAAGCUGGGGGUACCUGAAGUCCGUAACCGCGAGGAGCGGCCUAGGGUAAAACUAGUAACUGGGGCUAAGUCGUAACAAGGUAACCAAGGGCGAA
rnacentral:rRNA from 1 species